rnacentral:rRNA from 1 species
CACGUAGGCGGCGAUUUAAGUCAGAGGUGAAAGCCCGGGGCUCAACCCCGGAACUGCCUUUGAGACUGGAUUGCUUGAAUCCUGGAGAGGUGAGUGGAAUUCCGAGUGUAGGGGUGAAAUUCGUAGAUAUUCGGAAGAACACCAGUGGCGAAGGCGGCUCACUGGACAGGUAUUGACGCUGAGGUGCGAAAGCGUGGGGAGCAAACA